UGCCUACGCAAGUAGUGAGGAAGGUGGGAUGACGCAAAUCAGCACGGCCCUUACGUCCAGGGCUACACACGUGCUCAAUGGCCGGUACAAAGGGCAGCUACCUGGUGACAGGAUGCUAAUCUCAAAAGCCGGUCUCAGUUCGGAUCGGAGUCUGCAACCCGACUCCGUGAAGUUGGAUUCGCUAGUAAUCGCGCAUCAGCCAUGGCGCGGUGAAUACGUUCCCGGGCCUU
rnacentral:rRNA from 1 species